rnacentral:rRNA from 1 species
AAUGGGGGAAACCCUGAUGCAGCCAUGCCGCGUUGUGUGAAGAAGGCCUUCGGGUUGUAAAGCACUUUCAGUAGGGAGGAAGGUAGUGUAGUUAACACCUGCAUUAUUUGACGUUACCUACAGAAGAAGCACCGGCUAACUCCGUGCCAGCAGCCGCGGUAAUACGGAGGGUGCGAGCGUUAAUCGGAAUUACUGGGCGUAAAAGCGCAUGCAGGCGGCCUGUUAAGUCAGAUGUGAAAGCCCCGGGGCUUAACCUCGGAAUUGCAUUUGAAACUGGCAGGCUAGAGUCUUGUAGAGGGGGUAGAAUUUCAGGUGUAGCGGUGAAAUGCGUAGAGAUCUGAAGGAAUACCAGUGGCGAAGGCGGCCCCCUCGGACAAAGACUGACGCUCAGAUGCGAAAGCGUGGGGAGCAAACAAGGAUUAGAUACCCUCGGUAG